rnacentral:rRNA from 1 species
UACGACGGACGACGCUGGCGGCGUGCUUAACACAUGCAAGGUCGAACGGUAAGGCCCUUCGGGGUACACGAGUGGCGAACGGGUGAGUAACACGUGGGUGAUCUGCCCUGCACUUUGGGAUAAGCCUGGGAAACUGGGUCUAAUACCGAAUAUGACCAUGGACUUCACGGUUUGUGGUGGAAAGCUCUUGCGGUGUGGGAUGGGCCCGCGGCCUAUCAGCUUGUUGGUGGGGUAAUGGCCUACCAAGGCGACGACGGGUAGCCGGCCUGAGAGGGUGACCGGCCACACUGGGACUGAGAUACGGCCCAGACUCCUACGGGAGGCAGCAGUGGGAAUAUUGCACAAUGGGCGCAAGCCUGAUGCAGCGACGCCGCGUGGGGAUGACGGCCUUCGGGUUGUAAACCUCUUUCACCAGGGACGAAGCGAGAGUGACGGUACCUGGAGAAGAAGGACCGGCCAACUACGUG